AACCCAAAAAUUUCCCUAGAAUAGCUCUUUCCAGUUUCAAAUCUGAGAUUCAAAUUUCAGAUUCAUUUUAUUUCAUUUUUUAGCAUUCUCCAAAAUAAAAACCAAAAACAAUAUAAAAACUUCAAAAAAAAAAAACCCAAACAGGUUACUGUUUCAUUGCUUUCUCUAGGUAAUUUUCAUCUUCAGGGACAUUUAGAGUAGUUUAAGGGUUUAUUCAAAUCGUCGUUGGACAUUUCUAGCGGUUAAAAGGGUGUUGGAUCAUUUUAUUUCAGUUUUUGAGUUUGUUUGAAUGGAUCCUAGAUAUUAUUGGUUGAUUCUGUUGAUUUAAAGUGAUACAAUUCUCCUAGCCCAACUUUAGUCAAGUAUACAAUUCUCCUAGCCCAACUUUAGUCAAGUUCUGCAUGGUUUUGGGUCAAUUUUCUUUAUUCUGGUAUCUUCUGGUGAUUGCUGCUCUACUAUUGCACUUAAUAACUGUUGCUGACUCCUUCUUCAUCUGUUGUAAAUUGAUUCCCAGGUACAUAUUUUCAAGCUUUGAUUCCAUGUGAAGUACCCAGUUGAAAGUGAAAGGAACAGAAGCCUAAUUUCGUAUUCACAGUUUCAGUAUCUCUGACUAUAAUUGCUCAGUUGCAAUUGAAUUUUUUUAAAGUGAUAUGGAACUGUUGAACAUUUAAUUUGCAAUGGUUUGUAUUAGAGUAGAGGAUUGUUAAGUGAGAUUCUCUGUUAGCUUUAAGUGAUUUGUCUUCAAUUUGCUUAAGCAUUGAGUAAUUACUUUCACGCUCUUCAGAAAUUGAACAGGUGGUGUUGAAUGGUUUUGAAAUGCUUUGGAUCUCGGCAGAAUAGAUAUUAACGGGCUUUUUAAAUAAUCAGGUGAGUUAAGUAGAAAUUAUCUGUGCAUCAUAGUCAUAAUUUGGAUAUUGGAGUCAAAAGGAUAUGGUAAUCAAAAUAGGAAUUCUUAUUACAUUCACUCUUAAGUAACCAAAUCACUGCCUGUCUAGUAGUAUUCUGGAUUCGACACUGACAUUACAAACCAUCUGCCUCUAAAUUCGAGUUUGACCGCAGACCUUUGCUUCUACAUGAACCUCAAUUGUGGGGUUGGACGUCAAGCCCAAAACACCGAAGACCACCCUAAUUAAUCCUAAAAAUAUAAAAAUUACAUCCUAAAUGUAAAUAUAAUUUUUUAUAUUUUAUAUGAAUUAACAUGCACAAAUAAGAUGUAACAAUUAUCAGAAAAUGACACCAAAAUACACAAAAAUUGUAAAUAUAAAGAAAAAUCAUUUUGUUUGAAUUUUGUGGGAAUAAUUCAUAUAUAGGCAUAAAUCACGUGCUCACACCUUUGCUGUGAGUUUUACCCCUACUGAAUCCUUUCCCAAAAUUAAGUAUAUUUUGUACUUAAACUCAAUUAUUUUCCCUAUACUUUUAUUAUCCCCUUAUAUGGUUAGAAAUCAAUCUUUCUCAAAUUGAUUUUCUUUCCUUAAUU
rnacentral:lncRNA from 1 species